rnacentral:rRNA from 1 species
AGUGAACGCUGGCGGCGUGCUUAACACAUGCAAGUCGAACGAGAACGGAAUAUAGCUUGCUUUAUUUGUCAGCUAAGUGGCGCACGGGUGAGUAAUGUAUAGAUAACCUGCCCUUAAGAAAGGAAUAACAGUUGGAAACGACUGCUAAUGCCCUAUAUGCCUUUAAUACAUAAGUAUGCAAGGGAAACGCUUUAGUGCUUAAGGAUGGGUCUGUAUAGUAUCAGCUUGUUGGUGAGGUAAUGGCUCACCAAGGCUAUGACGCCUAACUGGUUUGAGAGGAUGAUCAGUCACACUGGAAUUGAGACACGGUCCAGACUCCUACGGGAGGCAGCAGUGGGGAAUUUUGCGCAAUGGGGGAAACCCUGACGCAGCGACGCCGUGUGAAGGAUGAAGGUCUUCGGAUUGUAAACUUCUGUUCAGAGAGAAGAAGUUCUGACGGUAUCUCUGGAGCAAGCACCGGCUAACUCUGUGCCAGCAGCCGCCGUAA